rnacentral:rRNA from 1 species
CCAGACUCCUACGGGAGGCAGCAGUGAGGAAUAUUGGUCAAUGGCCGAGAGGCUGAACCAGCCAAGUCGCGUGAGGGAUGACGGCCCUACGGGUUGUAAACCUCUUUUGCCGGGGAGCAAAGAGCGGGACGCGUCCCGCCUCGAGAGUACCCGGAGAAAAAGCAUCGGCUAACUCCGUGCCAGCAGCCGCGGUAAUACGGAGGAUGCGAGCGUUAUCCGGAUUUAUUGGGUUUAAAGGGUGCGUAGGCGGGCGCUAAGGUAGGGGGUAAAGUGGCGGGGCUAAACCUCGGCGAGCCGUUGAAACUGGGUGCCUUGAGUGGGCGAGAAGUACGCGGAAUGCGUGGUGUAGCGGUGAAAUGCAUAGAUAUCACGCAGAACUCCGAUUGCGAAGGCAGCGUACCGGCGCCCUACUGACGCUGAGGCACGAAAGCGUGGGUAUCGAACAGGAUUAGAUACCCUAGUAAA